rnacentral:rRNA from 1 species
CCUACGGGUGGCAGCAGUCGAGAAUCAUUCACAAUGGGGGAAACCCUGAUGGUGCGACGCCGCGUGGGGGAAUGAAGGUCUUCGGAUUGUAAACUCCUGUCAUGUGGGAGCAAAUUAAAAAGAUAGUACCACGAGAGGAAGAGACGGCUAAAUCUGUGCCAGCAGCCGCGGUAAUACAGAGGUCUCAAGCGUUGUUCGGAAUCACUGGGGUGAAAGCGUGCGUAGGCUGUUUCGUAAGUCGUGUGUGAAAGGCGCGGGCUCAACCCGCGGACGGCACAUGAUACUGCGAGACUAGAGUAAGGGAGGGGGAAGCGGAAUUAUCGGUGUAGCAGUGAAAUGCGUAGAUAUCGAGAGGAACACUCGUGGCGAAGGCGGGUUCCUGGACAUUAACUGACGCUGAGGCACGAAGGCCAGGGGAGCGAAAGGGAUUAGAUACCCGUGUAGUC